rnacentral:snRNA from 1 species
GCGCUCGCUUCGGCAGCACAUAUACUAGAAUUUGAACGAUANAGAGAAGAUUAACUUGGUCCCUGCGCAAGAAUGAUACACAAACUCGUGAAGCGUUCCUUUAAAAA